AAUUCGAAACCGAAAAGUGGUAUGGUUUGGAUUUGAUGGUUUGUUGUGCUAGAGUUAUGUUUUAUGACGGUUUGGUGAUGGUUACUGAGUUUGAUUUUGUUAUUACAUGUUUGUGGGUUGAUUGGUGUUGAGUUACGGCUGUUUUUGAGAUUUGUUUGUGGCUUGUGUUGGUAACUGAUGUUAUAGCGCUGACAGUGUUUGGUAUGGCGGUACGGUGUUGAACUAUGGUUUUGGUGUUGGAAUUUUUGUGUUACUGGACUCUGUUGAUUUCUUGCAGGUGAGAAAUGUUGUGUCUGUGUGCUUAGCCGUGGAAUGUUUCUCUUGUUGGGCCCCCCUUUUCUUGGCUGCAUCUGUGUUUGUAUAUAUAGAGCUUAAAAUGAGCUAAAAUUUUUGUUGCUUGGAAAGGAGACAUUACAGCCUGUUUUUAGCUGUUUGUGAGCUGUGUUUGGGACAUUAUCGGACCAAAUUUUGAUUUAUUUUUGGACAUUAAAAAAAAAUGAAAUUAAAGGACUAAGGAUAAAUAAAACAAAAAUAAGAUAAAAUAAAGGUUAAAAAAAAUGAAUUUAAAGUUAAUAAAAGAUGGAAAUUAAAAUUAAAUGAAAAUUGAGAGAAGAGGGCCCGACUCGGAAUCAUCUAUGAGGUAUUUUAAAAUACCUCCCUGCCGAAUUUUUGCUCGAAAGGCUGAGCCCGGUCGGAAUUAAAUGACAUGUGUCGGUGCUGUCUUAGGUCAAAAAUUGGGGUAUGACACAUUCAUAUCCACAAAGUUGUCGAGAUUUGGAAAGAGAAUGAGCCCGUAGAUAAGUAAUGCAAGAAUAGCCUCGAGUGUGUCCUGACAAGUGGUUUUGAGAUUAGCUUGUUCAAGUAGAUACUUUGAAGUGAACCCUCGGAUGUGAGACUUGGUAGUAAGAUGAUUGGAGACAUCGGAAGUCUUGAGAUAGAGAUCCUUAGCAAUAACCAAAGGAGUAAGAGAAGUCCCGGGACCGGCGAAAGGUGUCUUCUCGGCUAUAGGUGAAUCCAAUAAGUAGGAAUAAGCCUCAAGAGUAGGGACUAACUGGAAAUCCGGGAAAGUGAAGCAACGGAAACUCGGGUCAUAGAAUUGCACUAGAGUGUGCACUAGCUUCUCUUCAACAUUGGUCCGGAGAAUAGUAAGCAAACCACCAUAUCGGAAUCGGAAACCUGUUUGAUUCUUAACCUUGAG
rnacentral:lncRNA from 1 species